rnacentral:rRNA from 1 species
AUUGACGGGGGCCCGCACAAGCGGCGGAGCAUGUGGAUUAAUUCGAUGCAACGCGAAGAACCUUACCUGGGCUUGACAUGUACCGGAUCGGCGCAGAGAUGUGUCUUCCCUUGUGGUCGGUAUACAGGUGGUGCAUGGUUGUCGUCAGCUCGUGUCGUGAGAUGUUGGGUUAAGUCCCGCAACGAGCGCAACCCUUGUCCUGUGUUGCCAGCACGUUGUGGUGGGGACUCACGGGAGACUGCCGGGGUUAACUCGGAGGAAGGUGGGGAUGACGUCAAAUCAUCAUGCCCCUUAUGUCCAGGGCUUCACACAUGCUACAAUGGUCGGUACAGWGGGUUGCUACACCGUGAGGUGGUGCUAAUCUCUUAAAGCCGGUCUCAGUUCGGAUUGGAGUCUGCAACUCGACUCCAUGAAGUCGGAGUCGCUAGUAAUCGCAGAUCAGCAAUGCUGCGGUGAAUACGUUCCCGGGCCUUGUACACAC